rnacentral:lncRNA from 1 species
GGAGGGGCGGGGCCGCCCGUGGGGGGGGGGGCGGCGCAUGCGCGGAGCCGUCGAAGGUGCCAGAAGGAUCCGGGCGGCGGAGGCGGUGCCACCAGCUGACUGUCACCCCUUUUCCAGGUGCCACCGGCUGAGUGUCACCCCUUUUCCAGGUGCCACCAGCCGACUGUCACCCUUUUCCAGGU